GUAAGUGGUUGAGUGGUCUUAACGGUUGGUUUUCGCCCACUAUGACCCGGGAUUAAAUCCCGCAUUGGGAAAUU
rnacentral:tRNA from 1 species